GGAGAGAUGGCCGAGUGGCUGAAGGCGCUCCCCUGCUAAGGGAGUAUGGGGGUUAACCUCAUCGAGGGUUCGAAUCCCUCUCUCUCCGCCA
rnacentral:tRNA from 1 species